GACGAACGCUGGCGGCGUGCCUAAUACAUGCAAGUCGAACGCAGUGGGGACGGGUGAGUAACACGUGGGUAACCUCCCAUCAGAGGGGCUAACACUUGGAAACAGGUGCUAAACCGAUACUGAUGGAUGGACCCGCGGGGCAUUAGCUAGUUGGUGGGGUAACGGCUCACCAAGGCCACGAUGCAUAGCCGACCUGAGAGGGUGAUCGGCCACACGGGGACUGAGACACGGGCCAGACUCCUACGGGAGGGAGCAGUAGGGAAUCUUCGGCAAUGGGCGCAAGCCUGAUGCAGCCAUGCCGCGUGUAUGAAGAAGGCCUUAGGGUUGUAAAGUACUUUUAGCGGGGAUGCGGUACCCGCAGAAGAAGCACCGGCUAACUCCGUGCCAGCAGCCGCGGUAAUAC
rnacentral:rRNA from 1 species